AUUGAAUAGCUUAAAAAUUUAUAGUAAGCUAAUGAAAUAUGUAUAUUGAAGUCUAAUUAAUAUUAAAACUAGAUCUGUGAAAAAUGAAAGGAAAAUUGGUAGUUCACACGUCAAAUAAUAACAAUAACUGUACAUAGUGCCCUUGUGUUUAGAAAUUGCUCUAGGACUUGGUGGUUAAGAAAUGGGUUCUGAAAUUGUUAGGCAAAAAUCUGAACCACCCGGUGAACGUAGCAGGUUAUGGGUUCAUAAGGACAUCAAUCAUGUACUAAAAACAAAUUAGGUAAGACCAAAAUGCAUCAACUCUAUUUUUUCACGUUUACAAAUUUUUUUGUUAUUCCUCAACAAAAAUGCAUCAACUCUCUUUUUUCACGUUUCCAAAAAUGCAUCAACAAAUACACGUUACAUUGGGAAAAAGUUUUGUUAUUCCUCAUUCGUCCUCUCACACUUGAUAAACUAACCCCCACCAAUAUACACAUAAGAUAUCAACGUUCCACAAGAUAUUGGGUCAUAAUAAUGACUAUUUUGGGAUAAUCACCUAAGGGUAAGUAAUACUCCGUGUCUUCUGGGACUCAUAUCCAAGGGCAGGACCAACACCAUGUCUUUAGGUACUAAAACCCAAGGGUAGGAUCAACUCCAUACACCUACAUCGAAGUGUCUUCUUCGAGGGCUUCAGGGACUUUCACCUAAUGAUCCACAGUCCCACAUAAACAAUAUAACAAAAUACCCAUCACGAUGACGAUAAUCAAUUUUAUAGUAAUAAAGUUUUUGGAUUAUAUGUAUUGAUUCAUGCCCAGUCGGGUGUUUAUCAAAACAUUUAUAAAACCUACAACACCUUAUACUAGGGUAGCAAAGACAAAGCUACUAUAGCAUAGUGGCUCUAGGAUCGUCCACAGGGAUGGGUUUUCUUUGUACACUUAACAUUAAUGAAAUGAGAAAUGGUGAUUUCCUUUUUGGAAAGUUAGUUUUUAAUGAAAAUAAGAUUGAUUGGAAAGGUUGAUUUUAAGUUAACUAAACAUAAACAACUGAAAUUACUACAAAAAGAGUCUCUUGGAGCUAUAGGUUACUAGGAUCAAGUUCCUGUUGCAAAGUGGGAAAUUCUGGAUCUUCUCCUCGCAUUGGGGACAAUAACAUAAAGGAUGGUUAUCUCCCGAACCGGAUUUGUAUUUAGCAAAUAAGUUUUGAUCCAAAGGGUUCUUGAAAAAUGGUAGUUGCUUCCCAUUAAUGGCUUCAAACACUAAAGACCCUCACCUUGAACCACCUUCCAAUGGCUCGUACUUGAUAACUAAUGGACAUCCAUGGAUCUAGCAAUAAGCAUCCAUAGAAUCCUAAAAGCUUACCAAGUAUUGGCCAUUCAAGGUGAUUCUAAGGGAUUAAAGCUGAAACUUGAAAUACAAACCAUUAAUGAUACACAAAUACCUUCGUUUAAAGCAAGGAAAACUCCCACCUUUGCAUCUGGAUCCUUUACCUAGCUUCCAUCACUCCAAGAAACGUGAAACUUAGCCACUCAUCCUCUGAGAAAUCAUCCUCAGCGGGUGUUUGGCUAGAGAGAAAGUGAAAAGAAAAUGAGAAGGAAAGGCAGAGAAAACACUCAACUUUUCAAAAUAUCUAAAACAUAAUAUCUAAC
rnacentral:lncRNA from 1 species